GCACGUUAUGUACUGCUGGGCGCAGGCGCGUGCGCUUGCUUGGGAGGACGUAGGGAAAGGGAGCUAUGUACGCCUCUCCUGUCUAAUCUGAACCCAAGUUCCCUUAGUUGGCUUCGUUGCUGUUUGACCUUAGAUUCUUUUAAACUCCACCUUUGAGUGUAUGUAACUAUCUACUCUGAAGACACCUAUCAGUAGUCGAGGCUGGAGACCAUUCUCUUAUUGGAUCGACAAGGGAAACCGGUCAAAAGGCCUUUACCAUGCAGUAAGAUAUGUGGAAACACUCUGACGGGAGGAGUGGAGUCUCUCCAUCCCACAGAAUCAUGACCUUUCAGAAGCCGACUCAUCAGAUACUGACAUGAGUCACCUGCACAUGUUCCCAGGAAUGGGCCUUCUUUGGCUACUUCCCCAUUGUAUUAAAUUUAACACAGUAGUGCCAACAU